rnacentral:rRNA from 1 species
CGGCGGACGGGUGAGUAACACGUGGAUAACCUACCUAUAAGACUGGGAUAACUUCGGGAAACCGGAGCUAAUACCGGAUAAUAUUUUGAACCGAAUGGUUCAAAAGUGAAAGACGGUCUUGCUGUCACUUAUAGAUGGAUCCGCGCUGCAUUAGCUAGUUGGUAAGGUAACGGCUUACCAAGGCAACGAUGCAUAGCCGACCUGAGAGGGUGAUCGGCCACACUGGAACUGAGACACGGUCCAG